rnacentral:tRNA from 1 species
AAGAAGCGUUUAAACAAUUAGAGCUGCUAACUCAA